AGCUAAGGGGAAAGGAAAACAAAGCCGAUUUCUCCUUGGCAACAAGAGAUACCCCCUCCCGCCGCCCCCUUCCUUUUCCCUUCUGGUUCUGAACGUGAAACCCUGUUGGAAACAGGUCUCUUGACCCUCGGCCUUGACAUUCAAAUGGCUGAAUGGAGGAGGAGAGAUUGCUACUCGAACGUCUUGGGGGCUGCUUUUUUUUUUUUCUCCCUUCCCACUCUCUCUCCUCUCUCUCUUUCUUUCAAAUGAGUAAUCCCUGAAGAUCUUAACCCCCCAAUUUCAUCACCCUCACCUCCCCCUUUUAUUUUUCUCUCGCUCCUCUGGCUCUCCCGCCCGCUUCCCUCCACCAGCUCCCCCUCCUUUUUUUAUUUGCAUCUCAAGUCCAAAAGGCAGAAAAUACACACGCGGCGAGGACACCCGGGCGGCCGCGGAGGCUGCAGCCCGUCCUCGGUCACCGGGCACCUCCUCUUGAUCUGCUGGGGCCGAAGUGACCGGAAAAAGCCUUGUGAUCGUCGUGGGGGUGAAAAAACAGGGACUGAUUUUUUUCCGUCGCUUUCAGGGUCGCUCUCCUGCCUUUAUUUUAUUGUUUUGGACGUUUCUGAGCGCCGUGGCGUGGACGGUGCUUUUGGGUUCGCUGCCGGGUUUUCGUAUUUUUCAUCCCCUCCGGAACCCUCUCUGGCCACUAUGGAAUUCUAACCUGAAUCAUGUUUGGAUUGAAGCCGCCGCUGUAUUACUUACCAGGCCACUGCUUCCCUGGGUGAGGUCCAGCUCCUCCUAGUCUCAGGAGUGCCAGCAGCAGCAGUGCCCUGGCCCCUGAGCUACAGGUGCCGCGCAGCUCACUUCCCCCGAGAUAGAUGCUGGCGUCCACCUGCUCGUAGGUGGCGGCGUGAGGCCGGGGGGGCCUGGUGAGCGCCCCCUGGAAGUGCAGAGCUGCGAGGGGUGCUGGCUGCUGCUCCCCGCGCCCUACAGGGAACAAGCCCUGGCUGCUGAAAGCCAGACGCCCCGCUUCUCCCGGCCCCUGAGCCCUGGAACCUGUCCCUGAAGCUGGGUCCUGUACAAAUGUCUGCACCCUCUAGGAGCCAGGGCCUGCAACCUACCAGUUUCCAGGGGCAGCUCAUGCUCAGGUUGGCCUCAGCACCAGCUCCUGCUCAGGGUGAGAGGACCGUGCUGGGUGAAGGGUCUGAAGCCCUCUUCUGCCUCUUCUGAGCUGUGAGCUUGGCAGCAGACAGAGCAAAACAAGUUCCUAAUGUGUCUCCCUCAGCAUCAGUGUGGGCAGGGGGCACCCAUCCGAGGCCCUUUGUAAAUAAAGUUUUAUUGGCACCCA